rnacentral:rRNA from 1 species
CCUACGGGGCGCUGCAGUGGGGAAUAUUGGACAAUGGGCGAAAGCCUGAUCCAGCCAUGCCGCGUGUGUGAAGAAGGCCUUCGGGUUGUAAAGCACUUUCAGUGGGGAAGAAAGCCUUGGGGCUAAUACCCUCGAGGAAGGACAUCACCCACAGAAGAAGCACCGGCUAACUCCGUGCCAGCAGCCGCGGUAAUACGGAGGGUGCGAGCGUUAAUCGGAAUUACUGGGCGUAAAGCGCGCGUAGGCGGUCUGAUAAGCCGGUUGUGAAAGCCCCGGGCUCAACCUGGGAACGGCAUCCGGAACUGUCAGGCUAGAGUGCAGGAGAGGAAGGUAGAAUUCCCGGUGUAGCGGUGAAAUGCGUAGAGAUCGGGAGGAAUACCAGUGGCGAAGGCGGCCUUCUGGACUGACACUGACGCUGAGGUGCGAAAGCGUGGGUAGCAAACAGGAUUAGAUACCCCUGUAUC